GCGGAGGAAAAGAAACCAACAGGGAUUGCCUCAGUAACGGCGAGUGAAGCGGCAACAGCUCAAAUUUGAAAUCUGACCCCUUCGGGGCCCGAGUUGUAAUUUGUAGAGGGUGUUUCGGGCGCGGCGCCGGUCUAAGUUCCUUGGAACAGGACGUCAUAGAGGGUGAGAAUCCCGUAUGUGACCGGCGAUCAAGCCCGUGUGAAGCCCCUUCGACGAGUCGAGUUGUUUGGGAAUGCAGCUCAAAAUGGGUGGUAAAUUCCAUCUAAAGCUAAAUAUUGGCCGGAGACCGAUAGCGGACAAGUAGAGUGAUCGAAAGAUGAAAAGCACUUUGGAAAGAGAGUCAAACAGUACGUGAAAUUGUUGAAAGGGAAGCGCUUGCAAUCAGACCGGCCCGGGGGUGAUCAGCCGCUGCUCGUCAGCUGGUGCACUCGCCCGCGAUCCGGCCAGCAUCGGUUUGGGCGGUGGGAUAAAAGCCCCGGGAAUGUAGCUUCUUUCGGGGAGUCUUAUAGCCCGGGGUGCAAUGCCGCCCGCCCGGACCGAGGACCGCGCUUCGGCUAGGAUGCUGGCGUAAUGGUUGCAAGCGACCCGUCUUGAAACACGGACCAAGGAGUCUAACAUCUAUGCGAGUGUUUGGGUGUCAAACCCAGGCGCGGAAUGAAAGUGAACGGAGGUGGGAGCCUGUCAAACGGUGCACCAUCGACCGAUCCAGAUGUCUUCGGAUGGAUUUGAGUAUGAGCAUAGCUGUUGGGACCCGAAAGAUGGUGAACUAUGCCCGGAUAGGGUGAAGCCAGAGGAAACUCUGGUGGAGGCUCGCAGCGGUUCUGACGUGCAAAUCGAUCGUCAAAUCUAGGCAUAGGGGCGAAAGACCA
rnacentral:rRNA from 1 species